AUAGCAUUACAGGCACUCUCAGUUUACCUUCUGUAGCCUUCCUUCACAUGAAGCGUUUUUCCUCACCGCUGUCCUUCUUGCCUUCUGACAUGUCAUUCAGAGAUCCCUGAGGCCCAGAGUAGCCAUCUGACUGAAUGUCAGUUGUCCUUAUCUUCAUACCCUCUUCAUCCAUGUUGCAUUUGAGACACCAAAUGGCAAACCUUAGCCAUGUCUUACUUUACAUCAGAUUAGAAAUCGUCUUGCAGGCCUCCACUGAAAGUCAUCUUCAGUGUUUGCCAUAACAUCUGUAGCAUGGUGGAUGUCAUUGUCCUGGUGGGAGCCCGGGCUCUUUUGGAGGAAGCAACUACCACCGUGGACAGGGUUCAUCUUAUUCUGGAAGCAGUCAGUAUGGAGGACAGGGAUCUCACUCAGGAAGCAGCCAGUAUGCUGGGCAGGGCUCAUCAUAUUCUGGAGGCCAACAACAUGGUAAACCAGGAUCCUCAGGAAGCACUUAUUCUGGGAAGCAGCAACCACCUUCCUCAGGGGGCAGUCAAGUGAGCUCUGCUGGGAAACACUCCAGUCCCCAACUCCUGCUGCUGUUUAGCAUUUUGUGUGCCUUCGUACUCUCUGCUGUUACAUCAAAAUGGUCUAUGUGAACAUCAGAAGAUGUGCUCAGCAUCCUAGACAUGGAUUAUAUGCAGUAAUAUUAGAUUAAUUACUUAACGUGAGAGGGAAAAAAAAAAAAAAAAACAACACCAUAAAGUCAAAUUGUCAGAUGCUACUUGGGCUAUCAUGUUCCAUGUCUGGUUACUAUGUCAUGUCUUUCAUUAGUCUCUUUGGGUUUAGUCGUUAGUAGAUAUCAUUUAGUUUUGUCAGUGUUCUAGGCAUCAUCUUAAGAGAGCAUAUUGUUCCCUACCUGUGGGAGUUUUUAAAAUUAUGUCCAGUGGAAAAUGUGAUGAACGCCUACCUGAAAACUGAUUGGUGCGAGAAACAAUUGCUUAGAAAAUACUUGGUUAGUAACGAACACAGAAUGGCAUACAAAUUGUUUUAUUUGCAAACUGAGCACUGUCACUGCCCUUCACUACAUACAAUAAAGAUGAGCUCUAACUUCUCAUGAGCAGUCCUCCAGGGAAUGGCAAAAAGGAUGCUAAAAUAAUAUCAUACUAUCAGCUUUAGUCGAAUGUAAACAAAUUCACAUUCAACAUGGAGGUUGCAAAGCAAAAAAAAGCCUAAAUACGAUCUUCACCAUUUGGCUGACAGUUGUUUCUUUGGAGUCUGCAGUAACGUUUUUGUUUUUUUUAAUUUAAGCGUCCGAUCUGAACUGGCAUUGCACUUCUUUAAUAAACUGAUGGUGUAUUUCAC
rnacentral:lncRNA from 7 species